AUAUAAGCUGUUUUUAGACUAACAAGAAGGUUUUGGGAUCUGAAACUUACAGGAUGUUUUUAUAAGGGACGUCACAUUUCAAAGUUUGUGCUUAGUACCUCACUAAGACACGUUAACCCAUCGACAGCUGUGCGAAAUCAUCAUAAUUCGCACUGAAACGGCAGUUUUCUGAUGGGGGACAGUCCCACAGGAGGGUUAGAAAAGCGUUUAACGUCACAGAUGAUCGUACGAACCCUCAGAGCCCAGCUUAGGGUUUUUAAUAUACCUGCUGAAAGAUGUUACAUCCAGAAGAGAAACCUGAGAGAGAAAAUAAGGUUGUAAGAGUUUCCUCAACACUGCAUUCCCGCGUUGCAUGCUGGUUCUGUUAAAAUGCCCCCCUCAGUUAAACCACAGGGAGAAAGAAAAUGUCCUCUCUGACGCUCUGCCACAGCUGUUGCCUUUUAAAACACUCAUUGUGCAAGAGGAUAUACAACAAUUGAAACACAUCCAAUGAUAACAUGCUGGAAAAGUAGUUUAAUGCUGUGGGCACAUCUACUGUCAGGGGGAGAUUUAUCUGAAGGCCAAUGCUAAUAUGGCUGUGUUGCGUUAAGUAAUGCCCUGUUUAACUGUUAAUAAAUAUAUACUGUCUGC
ensembl:lncRNA